rnacentral:lncRNA from 1 species
UGAGCCACUUGCUAUUCUUUUAAUAAGCACAGCUCAAGUUGUUUAUCUCUUCCAUAUAAUUUAUCCAGACACACUGCUUCACAAUUAGCAGCCUGGGUUGAGGUGGGAGAGGGCUAAGAUGUGUUCUUAUAGCUUCCCCAUUUUGAUCCCCAAAGUUGCUCAUUUUGGGGGCUCUUUGUUUUGUUUUGUUUUGUUUUGUUUUUAAUAGGCCUGCCAAUCAGGGUGCUGCAGUGCAUAGAUCUGAUCUAUGCUGACAAUAUGCUUGUCACUGGGAAAUGCGUUUCUAGGACAUAGGCCCUAGCAGGGUAGGGGGAGCCAGUCAAGAGGAAACAAUUAUGCAAAUUUAAAUGUUAAAUUCUCUGGAGCCCCUGCCUCAGCCUGGGAGAGGAUAAAGGUCUGCUUCCUAUCUCCUUUUCGAGGGACAGCAGUCUCUCUUGCCACAGAUCUUCUACUGGGGAUUCCUAGGUUAUUUAAGCUUCUGCAAUGUGGCCCCUGGACACAUGGUUUGGAAACAGGACUUGGGGGUAAGUUGCUUGAACUCUCUUGGGUGUUGUUUGGUAGUUUUUGUCUUUUGGGGAGUUUGUUUGUUUGUUUGUUUGUGGCAAUCACAAAGCCACUCAGCCAUGUAAAUUGUUUUAUAGUGGCUUAGGUAUUGCAUCAAUUCAACACUCACCAAAGGACACUCAUUCAUCCAACAAGCGUGUGAUAAUGUCUAUACUUCAAAACCUCUAAGAUAAAGAGGCUGAAGAAUUAAAUGGCUCAGCUGUUAAGAGUAUGCACUGCUCUUACCGACAGUCUGGCCUGGAAAACUGAUGCAUAAGCAGCCGGUGACGACCUCUGACUAGCAGGCUGUGGCAAAGCAGAGGAUCACUGCCACAACCACAGGGAUGGACCAUGGAGAAGGCUCCCCUAGUUACCCUUUGGGGGACAGUUGCCCCAUCCAGAAUCUCCAGCACAGCCUGUGAGACUCAAGACUGAGAGAGAUCCAGCAUCUCCUGGAUUCUUGCUCCAGACAUUGGGAGCCACUGAGCGUUCUCA